rnacentral:tRNA from 1 species
CCAGAUGGCUUAGCAGGUAAAGAAUCUGCCUGCAAUGCAGGAGGUUGCCUCCAAGCAGGAGACCCAGGUUCGAUCCCUGGAUCUGGA